CUUGGAGAGAAUACAAUGAAACUAAUUAUAGAAAAUUUAAGACAGGGGUACCUGGGUGGCUCAGUUGGUUAAGCAUCUGACUCUUGAUUUCUGCUUAAGGUCAUGAUCUCAGGGUCAUGAGAUUGAGCCCCAUGUCAGCCUCUGCAUUGGGCAUGAAGCCUGCUUAAGAGUCUCUCUCUCUCCCUCUUCCUCUCUGCUCCCAGCCCCCCACUUGUGCUGUCUCUCUUUUUGUCUCACAGGAAGGAAGGAAGGAAGGAAGGAAGGAAGGAAGGAAAGAAGAAAAGAAGGGAAGAAGGGAAGAAGGGAAGAAGGAAGGAAGAGAGAGAAAGAAAACUUAAGACAGUGUUUGGAAUCAGAACAAGAGGGCUUAACUGAGCCCAUUAGGCCUGCUGUUCUCCAAAUGACAUGGCCUGCACCUGCCACGUGAUGAGAGACAUCUCCGGAGCACCAUCUUUGGAAGGGAAACGAAAAGCCAGGGGACCUGGCCAGUGUCCCUCAGGGACUGGCAUUGGACAAGCACUAAGCAUUGACCAGAGGGUGACAAAAGCUGCUUAUAGUUCCUUCCUCGCACAAGCAAAUGUUAUAAGACACAUCCAGAAGAGAGUCAAAUGGAAAUUCUGAAAUUAGUUUUGAAGGGUGAGUUUUAGAAGCAUUAUUUUCUUUUAGUGCUUGAGAAUUUAGUCAGUAAUACCCAAAAUACAACCAUUUGUUUUCACAUAUUUCAAAGCCAUUUUAUAGUCAUUUACUACUGUUUAGUUCCUAGCUGAUGAAUUACUCACAACCCUUAAUCUUUCUCACCUCAUUAGUUUUCAAUUUUGCACAUCGCAUAUCUUCAAAGAUGACUGCUGCUUUUCUAUAGAGAAAUGCUGAUGUGCUCAGGCUGUUACAGAGAAGAGUUGAAGGAGGAAGGAGACAGAGGGAAAAGCAAUAGGCAACCUCUUCAGCAGGGCUGCUUAACUGGCAGAGUGGAUUAGUUCCUAAAUCCCCACACUGGGGUUGACGUGGGUGUUCUAGACAGCCAUGAUGGUAGUGUUGGGACACUGUGAUCUUCUGAGUAUAAUAAAAAUAGAAAUAAUUUUUAAAAUGAAGCUUAA
rnacentral:lncRNA from 1 species